GAUGAACGCUGGCGGCGUGCUUAACACAUGCAAGUCGAACGGAAAGGCUCCUGCUUGCAGGGGUACUCGAGUGGCGAACGGGUGAGUAACACGUGGGUGAUCUGCCCUGCACUUCGGGAUAAGCCUGGGAAACUGGGUCUAAUACCGGAUAGGACGAUGGGUUGGAUGCCAUUGUGGGAAGUUUUUCGGUGUGGGAUGAGCUCGCGGCCUAUCAGCUUGUUGGUGGGGUAGUGGCCUACCAAGGCGUCGACGGGUAGCCGGCCUGAGAGGGUGUACGGCCACAUUGGGACUGAGAUACGGCCCAGACUCCUACGGGAGGCAGCAGUGGGGAAUAUUGCACAAUGGGCGGAAGCCUGAUGCAGCGACGCCGCGUGGGGGAUGACGGCCUUCGGGUUGUAAACUCCUUUCGCUAGGGACGAAGCGCAAGUGACGGUACCUGGAGAAGAAGCACCGGCUAACUACGUG
rnacentral:rRNA from 1 species